rnacentral:lncRNA from 1 species
UAACUUAUGUGCCUUUUAUUUAUAUACCGCUUUUACCAUUAUUUAUUUUAAAAGACUUGCGACGUCGUGAAAACACGUCUCUGACCACGUCGCCAUCAUGGCACCCGUGGUCGUCAACACAUUUCGACUUCGUCGAGAUUUGGAUUUGGUUCGCAUCAAUGCGCACCCGAGUUUAAGAACAUAAAUUAAGUAAAUCGUGUUUAAAGGUUCUAACAUAAUAUUGUUUGGGAAAUGCCUUUGAAAUUCACUAAACGGCCCUUCCGAAUUCUAAUCAUUUUAAUAACCAAAUAUUAAGGGCCUCACAUUUAUUUUUGUUCGGUGAGGCUCGUCUCGAUUUUUUAACCCUUUUUUAUCAUUAUUUAUUUUAUAAGAAUUACGACGUCAUGAAAACGCAUUUCUAACAGGGUUUCCAUCAAGGCACCCGUGAUUAUCAACACAUUUCGACUUCGUCGAGAUUUGGAUUUGGGUCGCAUCAAUGCGCACCCGAGUUUAAGAAAAAAAUUUACUUAAAUCGCGCCUAAAGAUUCUAACGCGUUGUUAUCUUCGCGAGGGCCAUGAAAAUUUAACUAAUGGUACACCUUGAUUUCUAAAGAGUUAAAAUUAAUUAAGCUAGGGCCAUGUAUAGAAAAAUUAUUGUAGAAAGAGGGUAGAUUUCAAUUAUUAGAAUUAUCUAUGUGGAACAAACUUUAUUGAUUAAGAAGAUAGACAAGCUGGAAUAUUAUUGAUGAAAUGAAUUUCAUUUAAAUCAUUGACUUAUUUACUUUCCUAUUCUAACAAGUUCCUAGAAUACUCUUUUUUUUAAAUUCCAUCUAUUUAUAAAUGUAUAUGGAGGGAUACGAGCAACAAAAUAGAUAAAGAACAUGAAUAAGAUGACAUACUAGACAUCAAACUUAUUUUCGUCCAUGUACUAAUAAAACUAGUACAAGGAAAACUAUCCAAAAGAGGAUCAACAGAUAAAAAAAACAAUCCAUUCACUUUCUCAAAACUUCCACUUGAGCAAAUAAAACCAUCAUUUCAUUGAAUUGAUUAUAUUUUACCAUUUAUCUAAGAACAAAUUUCCUAAAUAAUUCAAACCAAACAGGCCGAGCAACAGUACACUCUCUUACUCAUAUCCACAUAUUUUCCUAACUAAGAGAUCAAAUUUUUUACAAACUUUUCAACAUCAAAUUUAGAUUCUUCAUCAAAACCAAAAAGAAAAUCGCAAUACCAAAGCAUAAUACAGUUGAAACCAAAAGUACAUAUAAAACGUUUCAACAACAAAUUUAGAAUCUUCAUCAAAACCAAAAGAAAAUCACAAUACCAAAGCAUAAUACAGUAGAAACCAAUAGUACAUAUUUAUUAAAGAGCUGAGAAAAGCUAAACAAAACAGACCCAAAUGAAAAGGAAUAAGGGACUUACGAACUUUUGAAAAUUCUCUUGUAAAUCAAGACAAGGACAGAAACCGGGAAUAAUAAACCCGAAGCCAGAACCACCAUCGGUGACGCCGAACGGAAUACCUAUCUUUUGGUUGUAGCAAGAUGGUUUUAUAAAGGGUGUGAGGUGUGGUGUUAUGUGAGGGAGUUUUA